GUGAAUCAUCGAAUUUUUGAACGCAAAUUGCACUCUCUGCGGAGAGUAUGCGUGUUUGAGGGUCAGCCUAUAAAAAAUCGAAAUCGUUUCUGUUUCGCGGCGGUGUUCGUCGGAAAUUGGGUUAUCUUAAAUCUUUUGGUUUUAAGGGAAGUAAAAUUUUCUUAUUGGUUCUAUGAAAGUUUUUAAGAUUUAUUUAUUUACAUGUUUAAGGUAUCGAU
rnacentral:misc_RNA from 1 species